AAACGGGCGCGCCAGGGUUUGCUGGAACCGGGGUUGCUUAGGGGUUCUCGCCCCGUCUAGUCCGAGACUGCUGAGCACCUCGCCCCCGGGGGACCAAGCUCAGGCCUCCUGGCACUAGUGGUUAUAAAGAGGUACCCAUAUGCUCUCUGCCGCCCCUGCCAAAAAAAGGGCCACGGAGGGGAAGAGAAAAAGCACACACCAGGCGCCGCGGCAGGUGUUCCACGUGGCCAUAGCGUUUGCGUCACAAUGACCUGGCGGACAGGUGGGAGCCACAGCGUACACCCCAGGGUUCCCUCUGUGCUGUGCGUAGUGCCUACUGCUUGCUUCCAGGUUAAAUUUCUGUAGCUUUAGAGGACAGGAGACUUCAUGACUUCACUGCCAAGAAAAGUUACAGAGGCCUGCUGUACCUGGAAAUCAAGUUUGAGCUUCGAGAAUAAAGGUCAUGUUUUAAAAACAGCUGUGUAUGUAUAGGUAUAUGUUUUUCAUUUCCAUAUAUUUCUGUAUCUUUUAUUUUUAAGUUAUUGCCAUUUGUAGCAGUUUCAUCUUCUCUUAUCCUUUGUCACCAGGAAAGAACCAAACCAUUGUUUCUAGAGACCCUGCAGUAUACAGAUCACAGGAAGAAAAAGUGUUGGCAUAGCUGCUUCCUAAUAUUAUCUAUGUGGAAAUGAAACCUCAAUGUAGUAUGACUUCAUCCCUAGUUAUGUUAUACAUUUAUAAAUAAGUUCAUUCAGUCGUCGCUGAAACAAUUUAAAAGGGCCGAAUGAUAGUUAUUGAGUAAUGAUGCUGACGAAUCAGAAAUCCUGCGCUAACAUGGAUGGAGUGCUAGCUCUAUGUCCGGCACAUGCUGUAUGCUUUAUAUUUAAUCCUUACAGCAACCCAAUACUGUAGAUAAAAUCAUUAUCCCGAUUUCACAGAUGAAGACACUGCCCAGAGUGCCAUAAAGAGAUUAUUGAGCAGGGAUUUGAAUCUGAACCAGGAGACUUAGCUUAAUCUCAAGAUAGCAUGGUGUCUUGCCAGAAUGGAUGGAGAAAAAGUAUAGAAUAUGUUGACAUUUUAAUAGAAAGAUAAUAAGAUACCUCCAGAAAUUUACAUAACCUUUAAAGUUAUUCUUUGGGGAUUCUGUUUGUCAUAGAUUUGAGCCUGUCCUAGUCUUAACACGAAUUUUGGAGCUGAGUAAACAUCUCCUUAGUAAGUGUGUAUGAGUAAACAAAUCAUGAAUAUGGUCUACAAAAUAGCAAAUUGUUGAAAAGCUAAGAUUCAGGAGAAAUUUUCAGAGAGAAAAGCAUUGCUUAUAUAUAUUUGGCUUUUAUAAAAAAAAAUUCAAACUAACGUGUUAACAACGCAAGCCAAAUGAUUUUGCUGUAAGAAAAAAAACCCAAAGCCUUUAAAAUGAGAAAGUCUUCCUUACAAAAGAAAGAUGAUUAAGAUAUGUUAAGAUACAUUGAUUCCAAGAACUGUAAAUUUAUGUGUAAAAAGCUAUUAUCGGGAGUUAAAAGGAUAAAGAGAUUAUUAUUCUUUAACAGAAUGAAGUGCCGUAAUGAACAUCAUAGGUGCCCGAUAAAUGUUGACUGAGCGUUAUCAUCAGUUAAUUGAAGCAUUGAGAAAGGACUAAAUCACCUGAAAAGUUUUUCCUGACUCUGUAAUGUUCUCCUUUCUACCAGUUACAUGAAAACUUAAUCAGAAGCCCCAUUGGUCAAAGGCUGGCUUUGGGGCAAAUAUUUAAAUCUGUUACAAAACAGCCAGUAGAAUGGGAGGUUGUGUGUGUGUUCAAAGUAUCCCCUCAAAAUGCAGAUGAUUGGAACAAAAGCAUGAAGGGAAAAAACGGGGACAGCUGAGCUGCAACUGAUUACGCAGUUUUCUUUUAUGCUUUCUGAAUUCCAAGGUGAAAACGAUGACUGUGAGUCUAACCUGUUACAGAGGCUAAAAGUGGCUUCAAAAGCAAUGUCUAAAAGAGAACAAAUACAUGAUACAAGCAUUAUGUAGUCAACAUGGCACUGAAAUUCUUUGGGCUCCCGGAGAGUUUAGGAGAAAACCUUAACUGAUUUUUCUUCAUUCUAAUUAUUGUCCUAACACUUAGCAUAAUAUUUGAGAAAGGAAAUAAUAGACAACUCCUGCUCAUUCUCCAUCACCACAAUGAGUACUUUUCCUUCCCCUUAAAUAAAAUGGCUCCAUCAAUAACACUUGCAUUUGUUUCUGAAUAACCAGCUGUUGUUUCCAUCUUGCAGAACACCAGUAAGGUGCUAGUGAGAACCCGAAACAGUUUCUAAGGAGAAUGGCUAUUGAAUGAUGGGAUCAGAAAUUAGGAGAGAAAUAAGGUGCGUUUUCCAGUGUACAACAGGAUGACAAAAUUUUCUAUGAAAAAAAUCUUUACAUAUUCAAUUCAAUAAUUUUUUCAAGAGCUUCCCAGAUUCAAGAUAUGCUAAUAGGACCACAAGAGUUGGAUUUGUGUUAAGCUACUAACAGAGACUUGGAAUAGCGGUGGAUUAAAUGAAAUAGGGCUUUAUUUUUUCUCACUUAAAUUGGAAGGUAGGCAGUCUAGGGCUGGUGCGAUCUCCACUGUGUCACUGGGCUGUUGCCCUUCUGUCAUUCUAUUCUGCCAUCCUAGGCAAAGCAAGAUUGCCCAAAGGUAAACCCAGGCGAGGAUGUAAAUUGGUGGUGGAAACUGCUGGUGGGAAAGUAAAAUGGUGCAACCACUUUGGAAAACAGUCUGAAAGUUCCUUAAACGAUUAAACAUAGAGCUACCAUGUGACCCAACAAUUCCACUCCUAGGUCUAUAUCCAAGAGAAAUAAAAACCUAUGUCUACACAAAAACUUGUACACAAAUGUCUAUAGCAGCAUUAUUCAAAACAGUCAAAAGGUCAAAGCUGUCCUGCUGUAGACAAAUGAAUAAACAAAAUGUAGUAUAUUCAUGUAAUGGAAUAUUCAGCCAUGCAAAUGAAUGAAAUACUGACAUAUGCUACAACUUAGACAAAACUUGAAACAUUAUGCUGAGUGAAGGAAGCCAGUCACAAAUAUAUUAUUCCAUUCAUAUGAAAGUCCAAAAUAGAGAAAUCUGUACAGGCAGAAAGUACAAUAGUGAUCAUUUAGGGCUGGAGAGAGUAUGGGUGAAUAGGGAGUGAGAUCUAAAGAGUAUAGAGUUUCUUUAUCUUCUUUUUUUCUUUUUUCUUUUUUCUUUUUUUUUGAGACAGAGUCUUGCUCUGUCCUGCAGCAUGGAGUGCAGUGGCACAAUCUCGGCUCACUGCAACCUUCGCCUCCCGGGUUCAAGUGAUUCUCCCGCCUCAGCCUCCUGAGUAACUGGGAUUACAGGCAUGCACCACCAUGCCCAGCUAAGUUUGGUAUUUUUUGUUUGGUUGGUUUUUUUUUUUUUUUUUUUGAGACAGAGUCACACUCUGUUGCAUAGACUGGAGUGCAGUGGCACGAUCUCAGCUCACUGCAGCCCCCAUCUCCUGGGUUCAAGGGAUUCUCCUGCCUCAAUCUCCUGAGUAGCUGGGACUACAGGCAUGUGCCACCAUGCGCAGCUAAUUUUUGUAUUUUUAGUAGAGACAGGGUUUUGCCAUGUUGGCCAGGCUGGUCUUGAACUCCUGACCUCAAGUGAUCCACUUGCCUUGGCCUCCCAAAGUAGUAGGAUUAAGAGUUUCUUUUUCAUGUGAUGAAAAUGUUUUAAAAUUGACUGGUGUUGUUUACAAAUAUCUGCCAUAUGCUAAAAACCAUUGAGUUGUGCAUUUUACAAUUCAUUGUGAAUUAGUGGUAUGUGAAUUAUGUCUCAGUAAAGCUGUUUAAAAAGUAAAAAAAAAAGGGGUUCAUAGUUUUAUUGGCACACACACACACAUGUGUGCACACAUGUACACAGUAAAUCCAGUAUCUUCCUCAGGAAUAGUUACAAGGUAAGAACCAUACAACAAACCCCCAAAUAUGUGACUUAUUUUCAGAUUUCUGGAUACUAUUCAAAUUCUACUGGCGCUAAGAAGCUAAUUAUGAGGAAACAGGACAGAAAAAUCUGUUAAUGAAAGAGAAAUAUUUCAGGUCCAUCCAUUGGAUACCUCAUGAUAAUAUAAAGAAAAGUUCCUGCUGCGCAAAUAUUUUGCAAGUGUGCUCUAGUCUUAUAACAUCUCAGCCUUCUUAGCUAUCCCUGUUUAAAUGAAGGAAGAAGCAGACUGCCUACCAAAACAAUCCUUUUGGAUAAGCGCAAACACAGAUAAUAAUGAAUUUUAUGGAAUUGAACUUAAUAAUAACAAGGAGGUAAAGUGAUAAGUUUGUCCUGAUAAGUUAAUAUUAAUGGAGGAUACCACUGAAGGUAAAACAAAACCAGCUCCCCACUCUACCCGCCCCAAAUCUGCACUUGCAGUAAAACCCCCCCGCAAAAAAACAAAAUAAGAAUUAUGACACUAAAGCCCCAAAAUUCUAUCUUAAUUCUUCAAAAAGAACACUCAUUUCAGAGAUAUUUUCAAAUUAAUGCCAGUUAUUUUGAAUGAGCAAAUUAUAGGAAUAUUCAUAUAGGAAAUAAGUUUUUCAGGAGCUAUUUAAUGGUCUUAUGUCUUAAGGGAUCCUUUUAGCUGAGUAAUUCCAAGGCUUCUUAGUGUUUGCCAAGUUACUGUCCCUCUUCUCCCUCUGAGGUAAUCUAAAAUGAAUUAAAUUAGCAAUGUAUUUCAUCUCAUGUGACUGAAACAGUGUCAUAUUCCUAAUA
rnacentral:lncRNA from 10 species